GUUGAGGAAUUAUAAAAAGGUGCAUCGGUGCUAGUAAUACGUGUGUCGUUUGAGUUCCCAUGAGCUCCAGCUUGCCAUCAUCUGAUUUAUAAGACCCAAAGCUAGGCUAAGCGGUACUACUGUGAAAGAUGGAAGUAAUGAAAAGUGCUCCAAUAAUAACGAAGGUUUUUACGCAAAAAGAUGAAAUAAAGUUGCUUAAAUCGAUGAUAAGAUACAAGUCGGAGAAAAGCCGUGAUGCUACUUCUGAUCUCGCUGAUUUCACAGAUUUCGUUAAGCCCUUGUCUUUCCCGGCCAGUAAAACUCAGGUUGGUGGCAAGAUCCAGAGGCUGCGAACGAAGUUCAGAAAUAACUUCAAGAGAGAAAAGCACGGGAAAAAACCUAUUGGUUAUUUCAAUAAGCAUCAGUGUCAAUUGUACGGGCUUUCGAAGAAGAUUUGGGCUACUUUGGUUCAGGUGGAUAGCGAUGAUGAAGAAGGUGUUGGUAAUGAUAACUAGGAUCUUGGCAGUGGACAUUAUAUCUUGGUGCUUGGAUUUUGGACCAUCCUAGUAGAAUCUCUGUGUGCCCCUGACUUGGUGACUUUUGUCGUUGGAUAUUUUGUGGCUUUUGGAUUUAUAAUUAAUAUUUAGUUUUGAUGAAGAACAAUUUUCAUAUUAUUGUCUUGGAACAUAUUUUGUAAUGUGGUUUGAUUGGAUUUGAAAGUAUCUAUUUUGCAGUAUUUAAUAUUUUGUAAGUUAAUCGAGCUUGAAUGAAGCUUGAGUUGAUAUGAUCCAAAAAUAGCAGAUGCCACUCAAGAUAUGGCACUCUCACAUUUUUUUUAGAUUUUACACGCUAACCUAUCUAUGUACAUUAUAAUUCCUGUUGCCUCUUUGCUAUAGUAUUCUGCCCAUGCUGAGAAAUUGCCCUUCAAAGUUCAGUUUAAUUACAAGCCUGCCACCGCUCCAACCUACGUUGCUUACUUUCUGAAUGGACAGGAGCCUGCCGCGUAGCCGGUUUUUCCUUCUCUCCAUACUGCAGAUUAAUACACGUGCAGCUACUUUUUCCCAUGUACAUUUACAGAUACAGAACACAAGAAAGAAGUGAAGAGAAGAAAAGGCUCAAGAGGAUUCCACAAGCCAAUGUCCUGCUACAUUUAGUAGAUUUUGGUUUGUUGUAGCAUAACUGCUUGAUUAAAAUCCUGUGAGAAUUUAUCUAUUUCUUCUGAUUUCCACUAAUCUUAUUCGUAUUUGUUUGUUUUGAAGUUUGAAAUGUGUGAAUUUGUUGAAAUCAUACACCAGGUUAUGUUUGUCGACUUUGGUCUGGCAAAGGAAAGAAAUGGAGGAUGCCUAUCUAAGGCUGAAGAGGAUUCCACAAGAUCGUGACACCUGUUCACCUCUGAAGAUAUGGUCCAAGUGUUAGGAAGCGCAAGAAAUUUGGAGACAAAGAGAAUAUCUCAGGAAAUUCUGCCACUGAUGCUCUGCAGGUUAAUGAAGUCUGAGGAUCCUAGACCAAGAGCUGAAUAGUUAGCUUAAAUUAUACCUGUAUUAAGGUCACAUGUAAUGCUCAGUUGAAAAUGGGGAGUUGAUUGAGGAUGCCCAGAAUCAAAUGGUAACAAAGAUCACAUACACAAGAUAAGAAAAUAAUUGCUACGAUGUUUUGGCCGUAAUUUUGCAUAAUUCUAGCCAAUUUUUAGAUGUGGAGAUUUAUUUGCGAUGUACAUUGUUUGGUUUUGACAGCAGGCACAAAACUUCGGGGAACCAUUUUCCUUGGUUAUCUGUGAAGGUGAAACUUUAGCAGGCAUUAAAAUGCGUAUUCAAAAGAAAUUGCAGGUUUCAGACGAGGAGUUUCUAAAGGUACAUAUAUUUCUUUGUACAUGUUUCACCUUAGCAGAAGUUAAAAUGUGUAUUCAAAAAAAAAUUGCUGGUUCAACGAGGAGUUUCUAAAGGUACAUCUAUUUCUUUGUACACGGCUGCUCAAUAUUUAAUUUUCAACCAUAUCUAACAAUUUUUUCCACUUGAUUUGUAAUGUGAGAAUUAACACCCUUUUUUGCGUAUAUGUACUUUCUGGGGGUUUCAGUGGAAAUUUGCGCUCUUAUCACUGGGAAGGCCAGAUUAUUUGCUGGACUCGGAUAUUGUAUCUAGCCGUUUCCAGUGCACAAUUUUUUUUUUCUUAAUUUGAGUGUUUAAUUUUAAUAUAUAAGCAACACCCCUGUAAAGAAUGUAAAUUUGAGUGAAACAUGUAAUUGUUAAAUGGGUCAAAUUUUUGGAGAGAAGAUGAUUGCUAAAACUUGACCCGGCUAAAAUUUAGAUGUUGGUAUGUGUAGAGAAGGGACGUGUAUGGUGCUUGGAAGCAAUAUCUUGGGUUGGAGCAGCCUAACAAUACUCCUAAAGAGCUUUGCUGCAAACUAUAAAUUUUUGCUGUAUCAGAUGAUAUGAGUUAUAUGGUGGUGCAUUUGGCAAUGGACAAGGACUCUUAAGCUAAUGGUCAAUUGAGACGGAGUGAUAGCAGAAUCACAUAUCAAAGCCAGUUUUAGUAUAAACGGAAGUUGUGAAGACAGAAAAGAACCUAUAUCAUGCUACUCAUGCUGUGAGGAGGAGCCUACUUCUUAAGACUGGAACUAUUAAACAUAGUAUUGCCUUUAGCUCAAUUUUAGUGUGGAAAAUUGUAUUUGAGCAAUUUAAACAUUUUCUGUCCUCUGGCUAUUGGAAUAUGAAUUAAAUUUGUUAGAAAAAUAUGUUUGUUCUCUGGAGAUUAAAAGAGGGUUAAAUUC